GAGACAAAAUUCACCUAUAUUUUGUGAUAAUAAAAAACCUAGUACCUCAAGGAAAUACCUAAACCUAAUUUUUACAAUUUCUUUUUGCAAUUUUAAACUAUACUACUUUCAUAAAACUGUUGCAGACAAAACAAUUGGUACUGAACAUUAAUAAACUAUGUCACGACAAAGCAUGGUAAAGUCAGUUUUCACUUUUCAGUUUUAAGAUUCCUAAAUUAGACAAUUUGUCACUGAAUGACAUGGAUGGAUCAGGGACAAGGAGCAGCGGACUAAACAGUAAAUUUGGUCUGACUUUAACUGCUUGUUUUUAUGUAAAAUACUGUAUGGGUCCUUCUAUUAUAACGUAAAUUCUAUUUUGCUCCCUAGACUCCUAAGAAAAAUAGCAUUAAGAAACCAAGAGAUAACAAGAGGCUAGCUAGAAGAUACCAACAAUGAAACACACAUAAACAAGUAGCAUUAAGAAACCAUAAUAGCUGCAUCAAUAGCCAAACUGCCCUGCACUUCGAGAAGUGGUUCAGUGUAGAUUCGCAAAUUGAGGCCAUUCGGAUUUAAAAUCUUUGCUAAACCUUAUGCCACCAUGUUGUCGCUUCUAUUAAUAUGCCUUAAUUGAGUUUUCCAAUUUCUUUAACACUCUCCCGUUGCAAAUUAAAGCGUCCUUGAUCACACUAGCAUUCUCAGACUCGAAACCUUGCUCCCAAGCCAACCUGAGUGCUUCAAUUGCUCCCCGAAGCUCAGCAUAAAAAGUCGAGCACCCAAUAGUUUGUUAAACCCCAACAACCAUUCGUCUUUGAUAUCCCUUUUUAGUCCACCCGACCAGUGCUUUAGACAUCCUUGCAUGGACAACGCCGUCGACAUUCACCUUUACCCAUCCCUGCUCUGGAGGACCCCAUAUAACCUUCUUUUGCAACCAGUAACAUGAACUCUGUUGCCUGCCUCGGUUGCUUGAUGUUAGAAGCCACGUACCAUCUUUGUGAUAGGAUAUUUUCAACAUUGAGGUUACAUCGUUUGAAAACUGCAGCAAAGCGUUGCUUCCGUAAAAACCAGAUGAUUGAACCGAACCAUUUCCCAUACAACACCCUCAAACUAUAGUUUCGAGGUGUCCUGCAAGUCUGAAACUAUCCAAUCCACC
rnacentral:lncRNA from 1 species